GCCGCGGACGGCCUGGAAAAAUUGCAUCCGGCGACGGUAUUUCACGUCCCCAGUGCGGGAUAUUGGGAGUAGUUUUCAACUAGCAAUAACCGCGCCUCAGAUAAACUUCACCGGCUACGGUACCGCCACUGCGCAAAGUC
rnacentral:snRNA from 1 species